UACGGGGGGAGCAAGCGUUGUUCGGAUUUACUGGGCGUAAAGGGCGCGUAGGCGGCCACCGCAAGUCGGUUGUGAAAUCUCUGGGCUUAACCCAGAAAGGUCAACCGAUACUGCGGGGUUAGAGUGCAGAAGGGGCAACUGGAAUUCUCGGUGUAGCGGUGAAAUGCGUAGAUAUCGAGAGGAACACCUGCGGCGAAGGCGGGUUGCUGGGCUGACACUGACGCUGAAGCGCGAAAGCUAGGGGAGCGAACGGG
rnacentral:rRNA from 1 species